rnacentral:rRNA from 1 species
UACGUAGGGUGCAAGCGUUAAUCGGAAUUACUGGGCGUAAAGCGUGCGCAGGCGGUUUUGUAAGUCUGUCGUGAAAUCCCCGGGCUCAACCUGGGAAUUGCGAUGGAGACUGCAAGGCUAGAAUCUGGCAGAGGGGGGGUAGAAUUCCACGUGUAGCAGUGAAAUGCGUAGAGAUGUGGAGGAACACCGAUGGCGAAGGCAGCCCCCCUGGGUCAAGAUUGACGCUCAUGCACGAAAGCGUGGGGGAGCAAACAGG